CAAGUCGAACGGGUAACAGGGAAACAGCCUUGCCUGUUUCGCUGACGAGUGGCGGACGGGUGAGUAAUGUUCUGGGAAACUGCCUGAUGGAGGGGGAUAACUACUGGAAACGGUAGCUAAUACCGCAUAACGUCGCAAGACCAAAGAGGGGGACCCUCGGGCCUCUUGCCAUCGGAUGUGCCCAGAUGGGAUUAGCUUGUUGGUGGGGUAACGGCUCACCAAGGCGACGAUCCCUAGCUGGUCUGAGAGGAUGACCAGCCACACUGGAACUGAGACACGGUCCAGACUCCUACGGGAGGCAGCAGUGGGGAAUAUUGCACAAUGGGCGCAAGCCUGAUGCAGCCAUGCCGCGUGUAUGAAGAAGGCCUUCGGGUUGUAAAGUACUUUCAGCGGGGAGGAAGGGAGUAAAGUUAAUACCUUUGCUCAUUGACGUUACCCGCAGAAGAAGCACCGGCUAACUCCGUGCCAGCAGCCGCGGUAAUACGGAGGGUGCAAGCGUUAAUCGGAAUUACUGGGCGUAAAGCGCACGCAGGCGGUUUGUUAAGUCAGAUGUGAAAUCCCCGGGCUCAACCUGGGAACUGCAUCUGAUACUGGCAAGCUUGAGUCUCGUAGAGGGGGGUAGAAUUCCAGGUGUAGCGGUGAAAUGCGUAGAGAUCUGGAGGAAUACCGGUGGCGAAGGCGGCCCCCUGGACGAAGACUGACGCUCAGGUGCGAAAGCAUGGGGAGCAAACAGGAUUAGAUACCCUGGUAGUCCACGCCGUAAACGAUGUCGACUUGGAGGUUGUGCCCUUGAGGCGUGGCUUCCGGAGCUAACGCGUUAAGUCGACCGCCUGGGGAGUACGGCCGCAAGGUUAAAACUCAAAUGAA
rnacentral:rRNA from 1 species